AGGGGGUGUUGGACCAGGUGGUCUUGGAGGUCUUUUCCAACCCUAACCAUUCGGUGAUUCAGUGAGGGGAUUAAUUAAUUAAUUAAUUAACCUGUAAAAAUGUAGAGACUGCUACCAGCCCCUGCAACUUUCUUUUGUAUCUGUGUGUGUCAAACUAAGGUUUCUGUCGGCAGCAACAAUUUACAAGAAGCAAUUCUAAGGAACAAACUACACCACGCUCAAAGUACAGCUUUGAGUGGCAAACAUUUCUGCCAGAAUAAUCCCGAAUUUCCUGGGGGCACGGAUUUGUGUUCUGCAGUAAGUUCUUGUUGAUACUCAAGUGCCCAACAGACGUUUUACUGCCCCAUUACAGGAAUUGUCCUUCUCCUGGCACUUUUUUUCUGAUACUUAGUGCAGUAAUACAAUAGCCUUUACCAUUAUGUGCUAAAGACAGACAGAGAAUACUCCAGCAGUGUGUUUUAGCCUCCUAUGUGAGCAUGCUGAGUUCCAGGAGCUGUACAUCCCUAGGGAUAAACUUGAGAGCAGUCCAACCUGAGACCCCUCGAAGCGCCAACGAUGCUGCUUUCCUGAGGCGCCUGCCGUGCAACUGAAACGAGCUCAGCAGGGCUGUAACAUACCAGUCAGGACACAGCAGUCUUCAGUCCUCUACUCAGAGGUGAAUUUUUGUACAGAUUAUAAAAUGUUAAAGAAUUUUGAACAUUA